AAACAAUCAAAAUCUUCACAUGCAAAUAUCAUCACAAGGACUUUAUCCAAGGCUUGUAUUGUGGUUGGGCUAUCAAGAAAAUUGGUUUUCCUGGAAUACAAAAUCCUUGAGUUAAGAGAGUUUAAAUCAUCAUUUAAAGUUCAAGCACACUCUCUUUUUAACCAAUCUCACUCAUUCCCAACUUCUUCCCUUUUUCAUUUUACAAUGAGUUCACUUUACAUGCUUUUCUCUUUUCUUCUUUUCUUUUCUUUCACAUGCAUUUUUCUUUUUUAUUCUUUGGAACUCAAUGCUUUUCUUUUUCUUUUGCCUUUCACUUUCCCCAUUCAACCCCAAACUUGAACCUUUUCAACACAUAUAAUUAUUCUCAACCCUAACUC
rnacentral:lncRNA from 1 species